CUUGUAAUUUGGAGGGGUGAAAAGUUGCUGUUAAUGGAACUUGAGAAACACUGUGGUAAGCAUUCUGUAAUCCUAUGAUAAGACCUCAGAAUUCAGCUUUCCACAUGCAGUUUCCAUGGCUGGGGACACCCUUUCUCUUUUCCACUUGCGAAACACCUCCUCAUCAUUCUAGAUGAAGCUCAGAUGGGACCUCACCUGGCUCUUCCCUGUGGCCCUCUGUGUGUAUUCCAGGGCCAGAUCUUAUUCUCUUCUCUACGAACAGAAAGCCUAGUCUGGUGUUUGACAUAUGGCUACCGGAUUAAGAUCACAUUUCCCAAACUCCCCUCAUAGGCAUGGCUUUGUGACAAGUUCUAGAUGUGUGAGUUCAACUUCCAGAACAAUCUUUGUCCCCUCCUUAUUAAAGGUGGAACUGGUGGCUGGAUAAUCCCCCUGAGAUGUGAGAGUACAGAUGCCUCUCUGGGCUGGUAGUUCAGAAAAGCUACAGUUAUCUUGUGUGACUAUGGACUCCGCUAUCCCAAAGUACCUCAAUGCAGACUUUCAGGCAUCAGGGUUAUACUUUAGGUAGUUAGAAUCUCUGUUACAGCAGACAAAUAUAAAUCCAAGUGGACCAGAAUUUGAUGCUUAAUGGCUGGAUUUUAACUGUGACAAAAUGUAAAAUAUGAGUGCUCAAGUUUCAGAUAACAGAAGCUAGUUUUUGACUUUUGGGCUGUGACAAAGCAUAUAUUGUUGUAAUGUACUAAAGGAAAGAGUGUGCUAUGCACAAUGUUAGGGAAAUUGUUAGAGACUGUUGAAGACAUUGUUUUAUG